rnacentral:lncRNA from 13 species
CUACCGUCCCCACCCACCAGUGUCCUGGCCUCAGAUAUCCGAACAGCCAUUCUGAGCCUGCCCAUCAGAUAAAGGGUAUUCUUACAUCAUGUCUCUCUUGGCCCCCAGCACUGAUGGUGCCAGCUGUUAGCCAACCGUAGGGAUGAAUUUCAAAACAACAAGCACAGAAGUAGAAGGGUGCUGGAGGGGCAGAUAUGUUUUUCCUCUGACUAUCCUAAACCCUCCCACAAAGCCCCUCGCUUCCCAGGCCAUGUUUUUGUGGUGAAGAUUGACCACGGACCAGCAUCUGCAGGCAGACAUUCAAUCAAUCUAGCCCUGGGCUACAGGAUCAAACACAGGACACCCUGUUCAACUGGAAUUUCAGAUAGGUAAGCGUUUUUUAAAAAUAUAAGUAUGUCCCAAAUAUUGCAUAGGACAUAAAAAGUUACUUGUUGUCUAUCUGAAAUUCCAAUGUAAGUGGACAUCUUUCAUCUGUAUUUGCUUAAUUUCACAACCUUACUCCUACCUAGCCUGUGAGCUUCACCUCUGGACAGCAACCCCAAAACUAUCUUCAGAGUUCAAGCCUGUGGUUCAAGCCUGGGCACAACUUUUCAAGAAGCCCCAGUGGAGGGCAAACUCAGGCGCAGAGAGGUUCAAUCACUUGCACUUGCCCAAGGUCACACAGCUGGGAAGGAACAAAGCCAG